UUUACGGGAGGCAGCAGUAGGGAAUUUUCCGCAAUGGGCGAAAGCCUGACGGAGCAAUACCGCGUGAGGGAAGACUGCCUAUGGGUUGUAAACCUCUUUUUUCAGGGAGGAAUAAAAUGACGUGUACCUGAAGAAUAAGCAUCGGCUAACUCCGUGCCAGCAGCCGCGGUAAU
rnacentral:rRNA from 1 species